GAAUACGGAGUCAUUUUCCUAGAGACCAGCGCCAAAACAGGACUCAACGUGGACGAGGCCUUCAUGACGGUGGCAAAAGAGCUGGUCAGACGCUCGGUCCAGCUGCCGGUGGAGCCCAGGUUUCAUCUCCACGACGUGCUGCAGCCGGAGAAAGAGACGUCCAGCUGCUGCGGCUUCAGCUGAAAGAGAGCGGCGGUCAGUCCCGAGUUUAACACAAACCUCCUCCUCAGAGUCGCCCCAAGCAGUCUGUGUGACCCUGGACCACAAAACCACUCUUUAUUUGCUAAAUCUAGAACCUGAGGGUGCAAAAAACGAGUUCCAAUGAAGCUCUUAUCGGUGCAUGUAACUAAUCAAAAAUGGAAGUUUUGAAACGAAAUAUAAUCUUACGUGAUAUCCUGUGGCUUACCUGCCGUGAAGGAAAGGUGUAUGAACAUGUUGUUGUCUGUCGUGGACUGCUUCUGUGCUCCAGGGUCAAGUUUAUUAACGAAUAGCAUGUAUAUAUGUGUUCAAACAGUAAGCCCUUUGUGAUUCUAUAUGCUGCUUGCAAUUGAUUCCCAAACACACGCUGCUUUAAAAUGAGUGCAAGCAGAGACUGAAGUCACAGGAAGUAGAUAAACGUCUCUAGACUGCUUCAUACGCUUUACAGCCGGCUUUCUCCCGCUGCGUCUGAAUCUCAGGAUCUGGGAACAUUAUGCAUCGUCAGGCGCUCCAAAAUAUCGCAAAUCUCGAUGAAGAAAAUAUGCAUUUAUCCGCGUUCGAUGUACGGCGAAUGAAGCAGAACUCCUGAUAUGACUGACUGAUUUUACUAAGGAAGCUGCCAUGUGUUUUUAUCCGAUUUUAUGAUCAAAAACUAUUUUGUAUGGCCUCUGUUUUGCUGAAAUCAGAACAAUUUGCACAGUUUGAUGUCAGAUGUGCUCAGGUCUUUUCCUGUGAGGCUUUCUAAAAGAUGAGCGGUCGUGUCUGUUCCUCAUAGACGUGUGCUUUGUGAUAAACAUGUUUUAUAUGUUUAGUUUGACUGUGUUUCAUUCACACUAUCAAAGCUUUACUCUCUCAUCAGCAACGAUUUGGACUUCUUGGUGUUGUGCAAUGACUAUAAAACUCUUUUCUUGCAAUAUCAACAAAAAACAAGAAAAAAAAGCACGUAACAAACAGAGGCUUGUGAUGAUUUAUAUGUUUAAUUGAAGAAACGUCUUAUUUUUUAGUGUUGUGCAAUCGCUAUAAAAACAUUGCAAACUGAA